rnacentral:tRNA from 1 species
UACCUCAUAGUGUACGAAGCACAAGAGUUUUUGAUACUCUAGGAAAUAGUUUAAUUCUAUUAGAUGUAA